AAGGGCACCACAAGAACGCGUGGAGCAUGUGGCUUAAUUUGACUCAACGCGGGAAAUCUUACCGGGUCCGGACACACUGAGGAUUGACAGGCAAUAAUUAAAUAUCUCAUAUAUUUUAUAUAUUGAGUAUUUUAUCAUAAUAAAUAUGCUAGUCCUUUCAUGAUUAUGUGAUAGGUGGUGCAUGGCCGUUCUUAGUUCGUGGAGUGAUCUGUCUGCUUAAUUGCGUUCCACUUAGGUCUUUUUCUAAUUUAUAUAGAAAUGGGUACUGCGGCCGAGUGUCACUUAAAUUAAUCUACUUUUUGACCCCGCUUCACGGCGUGAGUGUUGAAUCGUAGUGUCAAUUUUUGGCAUUCGCUUGCCCUUCAAAGACCUGAAAGCAACGAACGUGACCGUAACCUCUUGUUGCCUCAAAUAAAUUUUUAUACAUUCAACGAUAUAUAUUAACACAUAUAUUCCUCAUAUUUGUGUUAUGUAUAUUGGUAUAUUAAUAUGAGGCAUUUUCUUACCAACUAGAGGGACCGCUGUAAUUUUCUUAAACCAGAGGAAGGUUGUGGCAAUAACAGGUCUGUGAUGCCCUUAGAUGUUCCGGGCUGCACACGUGCUACAAUGAUUGUUGCAGUGAGCAUCUCAUUUAUAACACCCUGCUGUGCGACUAUUCACACAUAUACACUUGGCGUGAUUUCAAUUUAUUGCGUUUCGAGUCGUAUUAGUAUAAAAUGUCUGCACGCAGUAAAGCCUACUCCGAAAGGUCAGUGGGUAAUCAAUUAGAAGUAACGAUUUCCUUUUUUUUUUUAUUAAUUCGGGAAUGCAUUAUUUAUACCUCGCUUAUACCCAGAUUUUGUGACUCGUCUCACUCAAUCAUUGUGUGUUGUAAGUGGGUCUCUCGUAUCAAUAAUUUCUCAAUGAUUAUUAUAUGUUUGACCUUUAUGGUAUAUGCAAUUGUCAAUUCAUGGUGGGGACAGACCAUUGUUAAUUGUUGGUCUCGGUCUUAACUAGGAAUGCCUUGUACGGGUCUUUGGUUCAACAAACCACCCGGAAUACGUCCCUGCCCUUUGUACACACCGCCCGUCGCUCUUACCGAUGAACUUCUCUGUGAAUUUGUUGGACUGUCACAUGAAUAAUUUAUUUUGUUCGUGUCGAUAUGGAAAGAUAAAUGAACAGUGUGGUUUAAAGGAAAGAGAAGUCGAACAAGGCA
rnacentral:rRNA from 1 species